AGUGAACGCUGGCGGUAGGCCUAACACAUGCAAGUCGAACGGCAGCACAGGAGAGCUUGCUCUCUGGGUGGCGAGUGGCGGACGGGUGAGGAAUACAUCGGAAUCUACUUUUUCGUGGGGGAUAACGUAGGGAAACUUACGCUAAUACCGCAUACGACUUACGGGUGAAAGCAGGGGAUCUUCGGACCUUGCGCGAGUGAAUGAGCCGAUGUCGGAUUAGCUAGUUGGCGGGGUAAAGGCCCACCAAGGCGACGAUCCGUAGCUGGUCUGAGAAGAUGAUCAGCCACACUGGAACUGAGACACGGUCCAGACGCCUACGGGAGGCAGCAGUGGGGAAUAUUGGACAAUGGGCGCAAGCCUGAUCCAGCCAUACCGCGUGGGUGAAGAAGGCCUUCGGGUUGUAAAGCCCUUUUGUUGGGAAAGAAAUCCAGCUGGUUAAUACCCGGUUGGGAUGACGGUACCCAAAGAAUAAGCACCGGCUAACUUCGUGCCAGCCGCCGCCGUAA
rnacentral:rRNA from 1 species